rnacentral:SRP_RNA from 1 species
GCCAGGUGUGAUGGCACGUGCCUGUAGUAGUCCCAGCCACUUGAGAGACUGGGGUAGGAGGAUCACUUGAGCCCAGGAGUAAUGUGCUGUUGGGUGUCUGCACUAAGUUCAGCAUCAGUAUGGUAACCUCAUUAGAGCAGGGGACUACAGGAUUGUCCAAGGAGAGGUAAAUUGUUCCAGCUUGAAAACAGUAGAUCAAAACUCCCGUGCUGAUCUGUAGUGAGGUUGCGCCUGUGAAUAGCUAUUGCACUCCAACCUGUACAACAUAGCGAGACCAUCUCU